rnacentral:rRNA from 1 species
UGGGGAAUAUUGCGCAAUGGGGGAAACCCUGACGCAGCGACGCCGCGUGCGGGAUGAAGGCCUUCGGGUUGUAAACCGCUUUUGAUUGGGAGCAAGCUUUCGGGUGAGUGUACCUUUCGAAUAAGCGCCGGCUAACUACGUGCCAGCAGCCGCGGUAAUACGUAGGGCGCAAGCGUUAUCCGGAAUUAUUGGGCGUAAAGAGCUUGUAGGCGGUUCGUCGCGUCUGGUGUGAAAGCCCACCGCUUAACGGUGGGUUUGCGCCGGGUACGGGCGGGCUAGAGUGCAGUAGGGGGGACUGGAAUUCCCGGUGUAACGGUGGAAUGUGUAGAUAUCGGGAAGAACACCAAUGGCGAAGGCAGGUCUCUGGGCUGUUACUGACGCUGAGAAGCGAAAGCGUGGGGAGCGAACAGG